AUGAUUCCAUAUUUCACAAUUGAACUGCAUUUGAGGUUUUUGUUAAGGUCACGGACCCCAGUUAGAAACUGCUGUUCUGAGGCCCCUCAGCCGCCUGGAGACAAAGCUGGAAGCAGAGGCAGUGUGUGUUUUCCUGCUGCCGGUGGACAGGCGCGCAGGAUGCAUUUCCCUCAUCGAACCAGGGAGCGGAGACCCCCGAGCAAGAGAGGGAAGUCCUCGGACCAUCAGCGAGGCAGGUUGCAGAAUGUCCUGGGCCGGACCGCAGCUGGGGGCUUUGAGAGUCCUGGGCAAGGAAGCGACGACCCUGAACCGUCUGAAGCGCCAGGCACGGGGCUCCUGGAGCAGUGUCUCUCUCAAGGUCCGGAAACCUUCUUUGAGUCGAACUCGGAAGCCCUCCCAUUUAAAAAAAAAAACAACAAAACAAAACCAAGAAGAGAAAAAGGGCCCGUAGAGGAUGCUAGUUGGAAAAAACCCUUAUUAAAUUCACUCCCAUUGUUUCCUUGGAAUGUGGUUCUCUAACACUGAUGUUCUUGUCUUUUCUGCUGACUUAGGACUUGCUGGAUCCUUGACAGCCUCUCCUGGUAUUCUUGCCUUAUCAGAUGUGGACAUCUCCGACACAGGCAAGAUAAAUUCCCAUCCUCAGCCUAGAGAAGCAGUUGGCCUGCUCACUGCAUCUCUGAAAAUGGAUGAGUGGCUAGGCCAGGUCCCUCUGGAAGGGCAACUUUGUGUCCAUUAAAAUACAAAUGCGGAACUCCUGUAAUUUUGUGUGUGUGUAUGUGUGCAAAUACCAAGCUGUAAUCUUAGUUGACCCACCCAGUUGCCUAGGGUCUGGUGCACAGUUCCC
rnacentral:lncRNA from 1 species